rnacentral:lncRNA from 1 species
GCAAAACAAAAAUUAUCUACCACAUAAAUCAGGAAAACUGCCGUAUAUGGAUCAUAGGAUUACCACUAGACGCGCAUAUAUGGAAGUUGAUGAAGUGCGUCGGGGCAGUGUAGUCGAUCACAGGUCGACGUCGAUCAGGUCCUCAGCAGCUCGUCCACGUGCAACAGCAUCCUCCUCGUGCGCCAGCUCGUCAGGUUCCUCGUCAGCUCGUCAG